GACAGAGGGGGCAAGCGUUGCUCGGAAUUACUGGGCGUAAAGGGCGCGUAGGCGGAAUGGCAAGUCGGUCGUGAAAUCCUUCGGCUCAACCGAGGAACGUCGAUCGAAACUGCCGUUCUUGAGGAUUGCAGAGGAGACUGGAAUUCCCGGUGUAGCGGUGAAAUGCGCAGAUAUCAGGAGGAACACCGGUGGGCGAAGGCGGGUCUCUGGGCCGA
rnacentral:rRNA from 1 species